UAAUCUGCGAAAAGCGCCGGUAAGGUGAUAUGAACCGUUAUAACCGGCGAUGUCCGAAUGGGGAAACCCGGUGCACUUCGGUGCAUCAUCGUUAGCUGAAUACAUAGGCUAACGAGGCGAACCGGGGGAACUGAAACAUCUAAGUACCCCGAGGAAAAGAAAUCAACCGAGAUUCCCCCAGUAGCGGCGAGCGAACGGGGAACAGCCCAGAGCCUGAAUCAGCUUGUGUGUCAGUGGAACGGUCUGGAAAGGCCGGCGAUACAGGGUGACAGCCCCGUACACGAAGGCACACAGGCUGUGAGCUCGAUGAGUAGGGCGGGACACGUGAUAUCCUGUCUGAAGAUGGGGGGACCAUCCUCCAAGGCUAAAUACUCCUGACUGACCGAUAGUGAACCAGUACCGUGAGGGAAAGGCGAAAAGAACCCCGGCGAGGGGAGUGAAACAGAACCUGAAACCGUGUACGUACAAGCAGUGGGAGCCUUCGUAAGAGGGUGACUGCGUACCUUUUGUAUAAUGGGUCAGCGACUUAUAUUCUGUAGCAAGGUUAACCGUAUAGGGGAGCCGAAGGGAAACCGAGUCUUAACCGGGCGUUAAGUUGCAGGGUAUAGACCCGAAACCCGGUGAUCUAGCCAUGGGCAGGUUGAAGGUUGGGUAACACUAACUGGAGGACCGAACCGACUAAUGUUGAAAAAUUAGCGGAUGACCUGUGGCUGGGGGUGAAAGGCCAAUCAAACCGGGAGAUAGCUGGUUCUCCCCGAAAGCUAUUUAGGUAGCGCCUCGUGAACUCAUCUCCGGGGGUAGAGCACUGUUUCGGCUAGGGGGCCAUCCCGGCUUACCAACCCGAUGCAAACUGCGAAUACCGGAGAAUGUUAUCACGGGAGACACACGGCGGGUGCUAACGUCCGUCGUGAAGAGGGAAACAACCCAGACCGCCAGCUAAGGUCCCAAAGUCAUGGUUAAGUGGGAAACGAUGUGGGAAGGCCCAGACAGCCAGGAUGUUGGCUUAGAAGCAGCCAUCAUUUAAAGAAAGCGUAAUAGCUCACUGGUCGAGUCGGCCUGCGCGGAAGAUGUAACGGGGCUAAACCAUGCACCGAAGCUGCGGCAGCGACACUGUGUGUUGUUGGGUAGGGGAGCGUUCUGUAAGCCUGCGAAGGUGUGCUGUGAGGCAUGCUGGAGGUAUCAGAAGUGCGAAUGCUGACAUAAGUAACGAUAAAGCGGGUGAAAAGCCCGCUCGCCGGAAGACCAAGGGUUCCUGUCCAACGUUAAUCGGGGCAGGGUGAGUCGACCCCUAAGGCGAGGCCGAAAGGCGUAGUCGAUGGGAAACAGGUUAAUAUUCCUGUACUUGGUGUUACUGCGAAGGGGGGACGGAGAAGGCUAUGUCGGCCGGGCGACGGUUGUCCCGGUUUAAGCGUGUAGGCUGACUUUCCAGGCAAAUCCGGAAGGUUAAGGCUGAGGCGUGAUGACGAGGCACCACGGUGCUGAAGUGACAAAUGCCCUGCUUCCAGGAAAAGCCUCUAAGCAUCAGGUAACAUCAAAUCGUACCCCAAACCGACACAGGUGGUCAGGUAGAGAAUACCAAGGCGCUUGAGAGAACUCGGGUGAAGGAACUAGGCAAAAUGGUGCCGUAACUUCGGGAGAAGGCACGCUGACAUGUAGGUGAAGCCCCUGCGGGUGGAGCUGAAGUCAGUCGAAGAUACCAGCUGGCUGCAACUGUUUAUUAAAAACACAGCACUGUGCAAACACGAAAGUGGACGUAUACGGUGUGACGCCUGCCCGGUGCCGGAAGGUUAAUUGAUGGGGUUAUCGCAAGAGAAGCUCCUGAUCGAAGCCCCGGUAAACGGCGGCCGUAACUAUAACGGUCCUAAGGUAGCGAAAUUCCUUGUCGGGUAAGUUCCGACCUGCACGAAUGGCGUAAUGAUGGCCAGGCUGUCUCCACCCGAGACUCAGUGAAAUUGAACUCGCUGUGAAGAUGCAGUGUACCCGCGGCAAGACGGAAAGACCCCGUGAACCUUUACUACAGCUUGACACUGAACAUUGAGCCUUGAUGUGUAGGAUAGGUGGGAGGCUUUGAAGCGUGGACGCCAGUCUGCGUGGAGCCGACCUUGAAAUACCACCCUUUAAUGUUUGAUGUUCUAACCUGGCGCCGUGAUCCGGCGUGGGGACAGUGUCUGGUGGGUAGUUUGACUGGGGCGGUCUCCUCCCAAAGUGUAACGGAGGAGCACGAAGGUCAGCUAAUCCUGGUCGGACAUCAGGAGGUUAGUGCAAUGGCAUAAGCUGGCUUGACUGCGAGAGUGACGGCUCGAGCAGGUGCGAAAGCAGGUCAUAGUGAUCCGGUGGUUCUGUAUGGAAGGGCCAUCGCUCAACGGAUAAAAGGUACUCCGGGGAUAACAGGCUGAUACCGCCCAAGAGUUCAUAUCGACGGCGGUGUUUGGCACCUCGAUGUCGGCUCAUCACAUCCUGGGGCUGAAGUAGGUCCCAAGGGUAUGGCUGUUCGCCAUUUAAAGUGGUACGCGAGCUGGGUUUAGAACGUCGUGAGACAGUUCGGUCCCUAUCUGCCGUGGGCGCUGGAGAAUUGAGGGGGGCUGCUCCCAGUACGAGAGGACCGGAGUGGACGCAUCACUGGUGUUCGGGUUGUCAUGCCAAUGGCACUGCCCGGUAGCUAAAUGCGGAAGAGAUAAGUGCUGAAAGCAUCUAAGCACGAAACUUGCCCCGAGAUGAGUUCUCCCUGAGACUGUAAGUCUCCUGAAGGAACGUUGAAGACGACGACGUUGAUAGGCCGGGUGUGUAAGCGCAGCGAUGCGUUGAGCUAACCGGUACUAAUGAACCGUGAGGCUUAACCUUACAACGCCAAAGAAGU
rnacentral:rRNA from 1 species